rnacentral:sRNA from 1 species
CGUCCUCUAUCUGUUGAGGGCAGAUGAAGUGAAUAUGGCUGUCGAACCCGCCAGCCGUCAGGAUGCGACCCUCGCCAGCGAUGGCCUCUGUGCCGGGGCCGAUGAUGAUGUCUACACCGGGCUGCGUAUCCGGAUUUCCGGCUUUGCCGAUCUUGGCGAUGCGCCCGUCCUUUAGGCCGACAUCCGCCUUGUAAAUACCCGAGUGAUCCACGAUCAGAGCAUUGGUGAUCACCGUGUCCACGGCGCCUUCGGCACGCGUGGCCUGUGACUGCCCCAUCCCAUCGCGAAUG